CCUUACCGAUCGGUAACCGGCGGUUACCGCCGAUUUUUACCGAUACCGGUGAAAGGCGAUAACACAAACCGGCGGUAAAUUAUGAAAAAUUUCGCCAAAGUUUAAAAUUUUCAAAAAAAUUUGAAAUAAAUUACGCAAAAAUAUGGUAAGAAAGUAGAGAUCACAUACAUCAUUCUGAUAUAGAACAUGUUCAAAUAUUUGACCAUUUGGGCACCGAAAAAAAAUAAAAAAACAUUCGGAACCCGUUAAGACCCAUUAACCCGUUAACCCAUUAGCUUUUUUUACUACCCCACCGACACCCCCAUGUCCCCAUCUAACCCGUGAGUCACUUUCCCCUCCCCCUCCACCCCUUUCGCCCGAGCUCCGGCGAUAUCAAGGCGAUCCCCGUCGAUUUCGGCUUCAAGACGAUAUUUAUCGCCGGUAAGGCGGCGGAAGCCGGGAGGUAGGAGCGGGAAUCGCUCGCUCGGCCGCCGGCCUGCCGCGGACGCCGGUAAACGUCGGUAAAUCGGUGGUUUCCGGUGGUAAGGCGGCGAUUACCGACGGUACGGUGUCGGUAGAGAAACCGGUGUGGCUGUCGUGGAGUGGGAUCCGCUAAUACCGAGCGGUAUUUGGAGAUUCCCGAGCGGUUUUCGUCGCUUUUGGACCGGCAAAUGGUGGAUCCGGUGUGGGAGCAUGGAGAGAAGAGAGGUAAUGGAUGGAAGUGCAACUAUUGCCAUCAACAGAGGAAUGGGGGAGGAGCAACAAGGCUUAAGGAGCAUUUGGCGCAACGUGGGAAGGAUGCGAAGGACUGUCCUUCGGUCCCUCUUGAAGUGAAGACGUUUUUUAACCGUGAGCUUGACAG